GAUGAACGCUGGCGGCGUGCCUAAUACAUGCAAGUCGAGCGAACGGACGAGAAGCUUGCUUCUCUGAUGUUAGCGGCGGACGGGUGAGUAACACGUGGAUAACCUACCUAUAAGACUGGGAUAACUUCGGGAAACCGGAGCUAAUACCGGAUAAUAUUUUGAACCGCAUGGUUCAAAAGUGAAAGACGGUCUUGCUGUCACUUAUAGAUGGAUCCGCGCUGCAUUAGCUAGUUGGUAAGGUAACGGCUUACCAAGGCAACGAUGCAUAGCCGACCUGAGAGGGUGAUCGGCCACACUGGAACUGAGACACGGUCCAGACUCCUACGGGAGGCAGCAGUAGGGAAUCUUCCGCAAUGGGCGAAAGCCUGACGGAGCAACGCCGCGUGAGUGAUGAAGGUCUUCGGAUCGUAAAACUCUGUUAUUAGGGAAGAACAUAUGUGUAAGUAACUGUGCACAUCUUGACGGUACCUAAUCAGAAAGCCACGGCUAACUACGUGCCAGCAGCCGCGGUAAUACGUAGGUGGCAAGCGUUAUCCGGAAUUAUUGGGCGUAAAGCGCGCGUAGGCGGUUUUUUAGUCUGAUGUGAAAGCCCACGGCUCAACCGUGGAGGGUCAUUGGAAACUGGAAAACUUGAGUGCAGAAGAGGAAAGUGGAAUUCCAUGUGUAGCGGUGAAAUGCGCAGAGAUAUGGAGGAACACCAGUGGCGAAGGCGACUUUCUGGUCUGUAACUGACGCUGAUGUGCGAAAGCGUGGGGAUCAAACAGGAUUAGAUACCCUGGUAGUCCACGCCGUAAACGAUGAGUGCUAAGUGUUAGGGGGUUUCCGCCCCUUAGUGCUGCAGCUAACGCAUUAAACACUCCGCCUGGGGAGUACGACCGCAAGGUUGAAACUCAAAGGAAUUGACGGGGACCCGCACAAGCGGUGGAGCAUGUGGUUUAAUUCGAAGCAACGCGAAGAACCUUACCAAAUCUUGACAUCCUUUGACAACUCUAGAGAUAGAGCCUUCCCCUUCGGGGGACAAAGUGACAGGUGGUGCAUGGUUGUCGUCAGCUCGUGUCGUGAGAUGUUGGGUUAAGUCCCGCAACGAGCGCAACCCUUAAGCUUAGUUGCCAUCAUUAAGUUGGGCACUCUAAGUUGACUGCCGGUGACAAACCGGAGGAAGGUGGGGAUGACGUCAAAUCAUCAUGCCCCUUAUGAUUUGGGCUACACACGUGCUACAAUGGACAAUACAAAGGGCAGCGAAACCGCGAGGUCAAGCAAAUCCCAUAAAGUUGUUCUCAGUUCGGAUUGUAGUCUGCAACUCGACUACAUGAAGCUGGAAUCGCUAGUAAUCGUAGAUCAGCAUGCUACGGUGAAUACGUUCCCGGGUCU
rnacentral:rRNA from 1 species